GCAGCAGGGAACUGGCCAUGCCAGUGUCAGUUCUCCCAAAGGGACUGCCCGGGCCACCACGCGUGGCCACACACAGCUCUGCUCAGGCCUCAGGCCCCCACAUUUGCUUCUCUGCCACCUGGACAAUUGGUCAACGCUGUCUUUUCGCUCCCGGGCCAUCUCCUGUGUGCAUAGUAGGGGAACAGGUGAGGUGUGUAGCUGCAGUGACUUCCACACGGGACACAUGUCAAGAGUGCGGGCUCGGAGCCCACCAUGGCUGAUGCCUGAAGUCUGUGGAGCCCUCCACCGCGUGCACGGGGCAUCUGGGUGAAGUGCAAAUGCUUCAGGACACCACAAAAUGCACUCCCUGCUAAUGGCCUGUGAAAGCAGUGGAGGACGGCCCAGGUGCCUGGGCCCCUGCACCCACGUGGGAGACCCGGAAGAAGCUCCUGGCUUCAGCCUGGCCCAGCUCGGGCCAUUGCAGCCCUCUGGGGAGUGAACCAGCAGAUGGAAGAGCUCUCUCUGUCUCUGACUUUCAAAUAAAUAAAUAAAUCUUUAAAACACAAAGAAGUGGGGUGGGGAGAGGCAUCGAUGUGAUUGUCAGCGCUCAGUCAUUCGUCUUCAGCCUC